ACAUUUCUUGUUCAACUCUUUCCGCCUGCUGGCCUCAGUCUUCGUAGAGCGGCACCGAACCGAACAACAACAGACCUGUCUAUCUGUGAGAGAGGGAAAUGAAAAGGAGGCUACAGAAGAAAUACUUCAUUUUAAUUCUAGGAUAUUCCGUGUUACUUCUGUUAAUUCCGUAUAUGCUGGACCACAGGAGUAAAUCAGGGUAUAUUAAACAUGGCAAGCAACAGCCGAGGUGCCCCGACCUCGAUAUGUGGAAUAACGGGGACAAGUUCAGCAACACUACGGAUACMGUGGAAGAGACGGUAGUCAACAGGAGCCAGUCUAAAAUACACGUUUAUUUACAUGCUACAUGGAGGACGGGGUCAUCGUUCUUAGGGGAGUUAUUCAAUCAACACCCCGAUGUGUUUUACCUCUACGAGCCCAUGUGGCAUAUAUGGCAGGCUCUCUACCCAGGAGACGCGGCCAGUCUGCAAGGAGCCGUGCGGGAUAUGAUGAAGUCGUUAUUACGAUGCGACUUCUCAGUUUUAAAACUGUACACAGGGAGCCAAAAUAUCACCACGUCUUUUAUAUUUGGAUGGAGAAAGAACAAAGUGAUCUGCUCGGAACCUCUAUGCGAGGCGUACAAGAGAAACGAAGUGGGAUUAGUCCAAGAAGACGUCUGUGGAAAGUGUCCAAGGAAGGAUAUCAAAGAGUUGGAGAGGGAGUGCAAGAAGUACCGCGUCGUGGUAAUCAAAGGUGUGCGGGUUCUGGACCUCGGUGUUCUCGUCCCGUUAAUGAGAGAUCCCGCUUUAAAUCUCCAGAUCAUUCAGUUGUUUAGAGACCCGCGGGCAGUGCACAAUUCACGACUGAAAUCGAAACAAGCUCUGGUCAAGGAGAGCAUACAGGUACUGAGGAGUAAAAAACAUACGGAGAAAUACAAGCGUUUACUGGUGCCAAACAACCGGGGGAACCGGGCAGAGAAUUAUGUCUCUAGCGCAAUGGAGCUAAUAUGUGACAACUGGCUGAAUGAUAUGAUGCUCAUGAUGAACGCGCCCCCCUGGGUGAAGAGGAAUUACAUCAAGAUCCUCUACGAGGACUUGGUUCUGCACCCCAUGGAGGAACUCAAGAGACUCUACAGCUUCUCCAAACUCUCCUCCUUUCCUGCCAUGGAUAAGUUCGUGUUGAACAUGACCCACGGCCACGGCUACUCCUCAGACAAACCGUUUGUAAUAUCGUCCAGAGACGCUAAGGAAGCCAUCUUCGCAUGGAGAGAGCGGUUAAACAUUGAGCAGAUCUCCCAAGUGGAAGACUACUGCAGUGAGGUCAUGAGACAACUGGGUUAUCAGAAGAACAGUGUGGAUCAAACAUAGACAUUACAGCAUCAAGAUGGUGGUGAUGAUGGAGGUAUGUAGGCCUGUGAUGGUAUGUAGGCCUGUGAUGAGUGAUGGAUGU